AGUGAACGCUGGCGGUAUGCCUAACACAUGCAAGUCGAACGGCAGCACAGUAAUAGCUGGCUCUUACGGUUGGCAAGUGGCGGACGGCUGGGGAGUACACUGGAAUCUACUUUGUCGUGGGGGAUAACGUAGGGAAACUUACGCUAAUACCGCACACGACCUGCGUGUGAAAUCAGGAGAUCUUUGCACCUUGCGCUAAGGAAUCAGCCGAUGUCGGAUUAGCUAGUUGGCGGGGUAAAGGCCCACCAAGGCGACGAUCCGUAGCUGGUCUGAGAGGAUGAUCAGCCACACUGGAACUGAGACACGGUCCAGACUCCUACGGGAGGCAGCAGUGGGGAAUAUUGGACAAUGGGCGCAAGCCUGAUCCAGCCAUACCGCGUGGGUGAAGAAGGCCUUCGGGUUGUAAAGCCCUUUUGUUGGGAAAGAAAAGCAGCAGGUUAAUACCCCGCUGUUCUGACGGUACCCAAAGAAUAAGCACCGGCUAACUUCGUG
rnacentral:rRNA from 1 species